GUAGUUAGCCGGAGCUUUCUUUACGAGUACUGUCUUUUAUCUUCCUCGUAGUCAAUAGUUUACAAUCCGAAAACCUUCUUCCUAUACGCGGCAUCACUGCGUCAGAGUUUCCUCCAUUGCGCAAUAUUCCCGACUGCUGCCUCCCGUAGGAGUCUGGGCCGUGUCUCAGUUCCAGUGUGGCCGAUCAGCCUCUCAGCUCGGCUACCCAUCGCAGGCUUGGUGGGCUGUUAUCUCACCAACUACCUAAUGGGACGCGAACCCCUCCUUCAGCGGAUUGCUCCUUUGACCUCAUCCCGAUGCCGGGUCGUGGUCUUAUGCGGUAUUAGCACUUGUUUCCAGGUGUUAUCCCCCUCUGAAGGUCAGGUUGUUCACGCGUUACUCACCCGUUCGCCACUAAAAUUUAUCUUCCAUCCGAAAACUUCCGAUAAAUCUCCGUUCGACUUGCAUGUGUUAGGCACGCCGCCAGCGUUCGUCCUGAGCCAGGAUCAAACUCUGA
rnacentral:rRNA from 1 species